CCCUCCAGAGCUCCUCCCUCUGCUAAGCCUCCUCCCAGCCUGCUGUGCUUGUCCGUUGGGACACUUCAUCUGGACACUGUCCCUGGACUUUGGCGUUCCUGUGGGAUGAGCUUCUGAACCUGAUUCCCAGGAGGGAGACAAGCGCAAGAGCAACACCCCUCAGAUCCUGCAGGGGUGUCCCUUUCCCACCUCCCUGCCUGGUCCCUGCUGUGUCAAGGCUUUGGAGUGAGCUGUUGGCCACAUCAGGAAUCAAGGCUUCCAAAACCACAGGCAGCCUGCGCUGGGUCCUGCUGGGGGAAGCCGUGGUCUUGCUGGCCAGCAGGGCCCUGUCCAUCUGUAGUUGACUACAGACACCACCAGCAGUAAACUAACGCUACAGAAUGACAAAGACUGAAGUUCCUUAGAGGAAUGGAGGCUGGCCUCCUGCAGGAUCACAGGAUAGACAAGUAUCUACGCUGGGAUGGAAACUUGGAAAUUGAAACUACCUCUCAGGCAGCAGCGGUUCCCCUGGUGACGAGACCUUGCAGGACCAGUGCCAGGGUCAUGAUCAACCAGACCCGACCUGACCAAGAUGGCCAGCUCUGCAAAUCCCCUCAGCUCUUGCCUUACCCCAAAGCUGUUGCCGACACCCCAAAGACAGCACUCAGACCUGUCUUCCCCAUGGGGCGGUGCUGAGAAUAAACCCUUUUUUGCUUUACUGUU